GACGAACGCUGGCGGCGUGCCUAAUACAUGCAAGUAGGACGCACAGUUUAUACCGUAGCUUGCUACACCAUAGACUGUGAGUUGCGAACGGGUGAGUAACGCGUAGGUAACCUGCCUAUUAGAGGGGGAUAACUAUUGGAAACGAUAGCUAAUACCGCAUAACAGUAUGUAACACAUGUUAGAUGCUUGAAAGAUGCAAUUGCAUCGCUAGUAGAUGGACCUGCGUUGUAUUAGCUAGUAGGUAGGGUAAUGGCCUACCUAGGCGACGAUACAUAGCCGACCUGAGAGGGUGAUCGGCCACACUGGGACUGAGACACGGCCCAGACUCCUACGGGAGGCAGCAGUAGGGAAUCUUCGGCAAUGGGGGGAACCCUGACCGAGCAACGCCGCGUGAGGAAGAAGGUUUUCGGAUCGUAAAGCUUUGUUGUUAAGGAAGAACGAGU
rnacentral:rRNA from 1 species